AAAAGAUGAUACAUUAAUGGAGAGGGGGGAAGGGGAAAUCUUCUCAAACGUCCUCUUCCUCCUUAAAGUCCAUAAGGUGAUAGUCUCUGAGCAGACUGACAGUCUGCAACAGUCCUCAGUGGACAUCCUCUCCCUCCGGAGGGUGAGGCGCUUCCUUGCGCACCAAAUAGCGUCCUUGAAGCAACACAUCACCCGCCAAGCGCCUCCGAUUUCUUCUUC